rnacentral:miRNA from 1 species
UUAAGCUCGAUGAAGUCGUCGG